AUGCACCAUCUUGUCGUGGUCGACGCCGUCACAGCGCCCAUCACCACAUCGUCCUGCCGCACGCAGCAGCCACCUCUUGACGUGGACGGCGCCUUCGCAACGCCGAUCACCACGCCAUCAUCACCUCGCGGCAUCGCACCGAAACCGGCCAUCAGCGGUACCGCACCGCUGCCAGCCAUCACCUCGCACCGACGUCCUCCAUCUCACAUGGAGUCCACCGCGUCACCACCGUCGCACCCGUUGCCUCCGCCCAGCACCACGGCGGCCACCAUAGCCGCCGGCACCGUCGUCGCCGCCACGGAUCAACAAGGCUCUGAUGCCAAUUGUUGGCGCCAUCUCUCCUCUCGCAGCGCCCCUUCUUCUUCUACCUCUUGCUGCCUCUCACAGCUCAACUCUCUUUGUCUCACACAAGAACACACACACAUGGUGAAACUCAGAAAACACAAGCGCGCACCUCACCGUGGAGAACACAGCUUUGCUUUUCACUCCCGGUGA
rnacentral:rRNA from 1 species